UGAUGUUUAUCCCAUCCUCUCUCUGUGUGUCUAACAACCACUCCCUCGUACUUGCCUUUGCAAACGGUGGUUGUAUUUAUACAAGGAACAAACUUCACGGGUCACAAGCCUCUUUGAAGCCUUUCUCUCUCUUCUCACCCUCUCUGCACUUGUCUCUCUGUUCUCUCCGCACUUGUUGGCGUCAGUUUUUUUUCUUUGCUUUUCGGAUCGGAGAAUGGCAUCCAUGCCUGGAAAGGAUCAAGGAGAAACGUUUAAGCAGAUUUCAGAGGAUGAAGAGGAUCUCAUCAUAAGGAUGUAUAGCCUCAUUGGGAAUAGGGAGGAUACCAGGGAAAAGCGCAGAGGAAAUAGAGUGGUUUUGGACGAUGAGGGAGCAUGAGGAAGACGACAAUGCAUCAUCCAUCACUGGUUUUGUGUGCCCUCUUAACAUGGCUGAGAAGAAGAAGAAGAAGAACGCAAUUGAGGCUGAUUGUCCUAAUACUGCAGUAACUACUCAUUUAACCAAACCCAUCGCCUGAAAUGUUUCUAUCUAAUAUUGGUUCAUUUACUGAUAAAUUUGGAAGUCCUGAGGUGGGUAAUUUUGUGAAGUCAUUCUCUAUUGCCGGUA